UAUAAAGAAGAUAAAUACUUGAAUUCUUUUGCGGAUUUAGACCUAAAUUUUGCGUUGAAACCCGUAAACUUACAUUUACAAGAAGUUUUCUGCAAGAGAGGAGUCAAAGGAAAGAAGCUUUUUUCCUCGUAAGAAUUGAAAAUCAUGUUUUGAAACUCUUCCAAAGAAUACCUACCAUACUUAUGCUCAUCUUUCUUGACAUGCUUCAAAAUUUCUUUAAAAAAAACUAUUUCGCAAGGGAAAACCAAACCACCCUUAACUUCUAGACCAAACUCCUCUGCAGCUUCACCAAGUAGACACUUAAAAAUAUGUAGGUUAAGGAACCGAACCGGAAUUGUAAAACGUUCACGUUCGGUUCCUACAAAAACAGAAACACAACCGGAUGGAGGACAUCGAUUUUUGUCAUUAGAAUUAUGGACAUUAACAACGUUGUUAUUGCAAUUGCAAUCAUCAGAAUAAGAGUAGUGAAAGGAUUGACGUCGAUGAAGACUCUUGAGC
rnacentral:lncRNA from 1 species